CUACGGGGGGCUGCAGUGAGGAAUUUUGCGCAAUGGGGGAAACCCUGACGCAGCAACGCCGCGUGAGUGAAGAAGGCUUUCGGGUCGUAAAGCUCUGUCAGAUGGGAAAAAAUCUUUUUGGUUAAUAGCCGUAAAGCCUGAUGGUACCAUCAGAGGAAGCACCGGCUAACUCCGUGCCAGCAGCCGCGGUAAUACGGAGUAGUGCAAGCGUUGUUCGGAAUUACUGGGCGUAAAGAGCGUGUAGGCGGUAUAGUAAGUCAGAUGUGAAAGCCCUGGGCUCAACCCAGGAAGUGCAUUUGAUACUGCUAUUCUUGAGUAUGGGAGAGGAGAGUGGAAUUCCCAGUGUAGAGGUGAAAUUCGUAGAUAUUGGGAGGAACACCCGUGGCGAAGGCGACUCUCUGGACCAAUACUGACGCUGAGACGCGAAAGCGUGGGGAGCAAACAGGAUUAGAUACCCCGGUAGUC
rnacentral:rRNA from 1 species